GUGACCUCAGAGUAUAAACCAACCUUGGAAUGAUUAUAAUCCAGACACAACCUGCCUAAAUUCAAACUCAUUAAUUGACUCAAACUAUUUGAUAAAUAGAACCAGUUAUCCUAGGGAUAACAGCGCAAUCCUACUCAAGAGUCCAUAUGAACAGUAGGGUUUAUGACCUUGAUGUUGGAUCAGGACAUCCAAAUAGUGUAACUGCUAUCAAUGGUUCAUUUGUUCAAUAAUUAAAGUCCUGUAUGAUCUCAGUUCAGACUGGAGAAAUCUAGGUCGGUUUCUAGCUAUUAAAAUAUUUCUC
rnacentral:lncRNA from 1 species